rnacentral:rRNA from 1 species
UACGGAGGGGACUAGCGUUGUUCGGAAUUACUGGGCGUAAAGCGCGCGUAGGCGGCUUUGUAAGUCAGGGGUGAAAUCCCGGGGCUCAACCUCGGAACUGCCUUUGAUACUGCAAAUCUCGAGUCCGGAAGAGGUGAGUGGAAUUCCUAGUGUAGAGGUGAAAUUCGUAGAUAUUAGGAAGAACACCAGUGGCGAAGGCGACUUACUGGACACAUAUUGACGCUGAGGUGCGAAAGCGUGGGGAGCAAACAGG